rnacentral:rRNA from 1 species
GACGAACGCUGGCGGCGUGCCUAACACAUGCAAGUCGAGCGGAGAUUGCAGUAAUGUAAUCUUAGCGGCGGACGGGUGAGUAACGCGUGGGUAACCUGCCUUUAACUGGGGGAUAACACAGGGAAACUUGUGCUAAUACCGCAUAACAUCAUGAAGGGACAUCCCUUUAUGAUCAAAGGAGCAAUCCGGUAAAAGAUGGACCCGCGUCCGAUUAGCUAGUUGGUGAGGUAAUGGCCCACCAAGGCGACGAUCGGUAGCCGAACUGAGAGGUUGAUCGGCCACAUUGGGACUGAGACACGGCCCAGACUCCUACGGGUGGCAG